CCCCUUGAUAUUCUUAGUUUCCCUGAUAUUCCCACUCCUCCCUGACAGUCCUACCCCUGACAUUCCCAACCUCCCUAACAUUCCUACACCCAGACAUUCCCACGCUCCUCAACAUUCCCAAUCUCACAUUCCAACCCCCGACUUCACCCCCUCCUGACAUUCCCCCCUCCCUGACAUUCCCUCCCCUCUGCAUACCCCUUGUUCCCUGAUAUUCCCAGUCUCCCCCACAUUCCCUCUCCUCCCUGACAUUCCCCACCCCCCACAUAGCCCACGUUCCCUGAUAUUCCCACAUUCCCCACCCCCCACAUUCCCAUCCCCCCUCCGACAUUCCCAGCCGGUCUCCGCCCCCGGGAGAGUCCUGCUCUGGAAUCUCGGGAUGAAGAUGAAGGUGACCUUGCUGUUGCUGACUCUGCUGCUCCUCUUCUCUGCCGCUCCCCAAACUGUGGAGACAAGCACGUGGCAGUGUGAAUACCUCGGUGGAACGUGCAGUGUGACUCCGUGUGCAUCCGGCUACAAAACAGAGAGUGGGUUUUGUGACGACAAUUCCAAUUGCUGUUAUCCCUGACGGAGAAGUGAUUGGGAUCUUAGCGCCCAGGAUCCCAACCAGGAAAAUGUGGGCUAACGUGGUGUGAUCAGGAAGUGAAGGGGGAGGGGGGAUGGGGUAGAUGUGCAAUUCUCUCUCUCUCCCGGAACCCAUCCCCUCAAUGCGCCCAUUCCAAUCAUCUUCUUGUCUGCCUAAUGAUCCUCACCUCCCUCAUUCAGCAAUAAAACCAUCAGCCCUG